UAGCAAUACCGAAGAAAGUCUAGUGGCGAACGGGUGCGUAACACGUGGGCAAUCUGCCUUAAAGUGGGGGAUAGCUCGGCGAAAGCCGGAUUAAUACCGCAUGUGAUUACCGGAGACAUCUUCGGAACAUCAAAGUCGGGGCAACCUGACGCUUUUUGAGGAGCCCGCGGCCUAUCAGCUAGUUGGUGAGGUAACGGCUCACCAAGGCUUUGACGGGUAGCUGGUCUGAGAGGACGACCAGUCACACUGGAACUGAGACACGGUCCAGACACCUACGGGUGGCAGCAGUCGAGAAUUUUUCUCAAUGGGGGAAACCCUGAAGGAGCGACGCCGCGUGGAGGAUGAAGGUCUUCGGGUUGUAAACUCCUGUCAUUUGGGAACAAUGCUUACGUAUUAACUGUACGUGAGUUGAUAGUACCAGAAGAGGAAGAGACGGCUAACUCUGUGCCAGCAGCCGCGGUAAUACAGAGGUCUCAAGCGUUGUUCGGAUUCAUUGGGCGUAAAGGGUGUGUAGGUGGCGCGCUAAGUCGGGUGUGAAAUUUCGGAGCUUAACUCCGAAACUGCAUUCGAUACUGGCGUGCUUGAGGACUGGAGAGGAGACUGGAAUUCACGGUGUAGCA
rnacentral:rRNA from 1 species